rnacentral:rRNA from 1 species
AUUGAACGCUGGCGGUAUGCUUAACACAUGCAAGUCGAACGGUAACAGGCCUUCGGGCGCUGACGAGUGGCGGACGGGUGAGUAACGCGUAGGAAUCUGCCUCAUAGUGGGGGACAACGUGGGGAAACUCACGCUAAUACCGCAUACGCCUACGGGGAAAGGACGGGGGAGUCUUCGGACCUCGCGCUAUGAGAUGAGCCUGCGUUAGAUUAGCUAGUUGGUAGGGUAAAGGCCUACCAAGGCGACGAUCUAUAGCUGGUCUGAGAGGACGAUCAGCCACACUGGGACUGAGACACGGCCCAGACUCCUACGGGAGGCAGCAGUGGGGGAAUAUUGGACAAUGGGCGCAAGCCUGAUCCAGCAAUACCGCGUGUGUGAAGAAGGCCCUAGGGUUGG